rnacentral:rRNA from 1 species
UACGUAGGGUGCGAGCGUUGUCCGGAAUCACUGGGCGUAAAGCGUCUGUAGGUUGUUUAAAAAGUCUGCAGUUAAAGGUUGAAGCUUAACUUCAAAAAUGCCGUAGAAACUUUUAAACUAGAGGAUGGUAGGGGUAGAGGGAAUUUCCAGUGGAGCGGUGAAAUGUGUAGAUAUUGGAAAGACCACCGAUGGCGAAGGCACUCUACUGGGCCAUGACUGACACUGAGAGACGAAAAGCUAGGGGAGCAAAUGGG